CUGAGGUGAGGAGAAGCUGUGCGCUGUGUCCGCCUGCCCCAGAGGUCUCACACCUGCCCCGCGGGACCCCGACCUGCCCCGGGGGACCCCGACCGCGAGUCCCUUUCGAGGAGGUGUGGAAGGUUGAUGAAAGCCUCCGGGUUUAAGGCGAGGUGGAAGGACUGAGUUAAAGUGUACGGGAUGUUUUCUACUCACCCGAGGACCGGGACGCAGAGUGACCUUAGAACCUCAUCAAUGCCAUCUGGCUGUGAAGUAACCAGCAAGGCUACAAGAUUUCUUGACAUAGACUGCUGGGAAGCGAGGACAUGGGUUUGAUUCCCAGCACCCACAUGGCCA